GAUUUCCCUCGCUCGCACACCCAUAUACCCUCGUGGUCAAAUUAACUUAUCCGAGUUUUCUUAAUAGUUAACCAAUCUGCUUCUACAUAAUAUUCAACACCUCGCCCUUCAAACUAAUAAGGAAUCUUGCGGGAAGCUUCUUCAUAAGACCGGAAGACACUUCAAAGAGGGAAAAUGUUGCAUAUGGAUCUAUAUAUAAAUGUGCAGAGCAUCGUAAGAUAGAUCCUCACUGAAUAACAAUGGCUGAAUAUCGAUAUACUUUAAAGUUUCAUGAGCCAUUCAAUACUUACCAUGAUUUGACUAAUGCUGUUACACAUGACUUUAGUCCCCUGAAGCAGUACUCCGAGGGCAAUGUGGGUGUGGAAAAUAAACAAGUACUCAUUCUACAACCAGAGGAAUAAAUUAAACGAAGGAGAAGAAUUCAGAGUAUAAUGUUUUCUGAGAAGAGAAGAAGGAUAAAGAUAAGACAAUUGCUCUUUACUUUACAGUCUCUACUGCCUGUUUCAACUACCAAUAAGGUAGAAAGACAUUACAUCAUAGAAGAGAUUGGUAAAUAUAUUCAGACUCUCCAGACUAAAACCCUGGACUUGCAGAAGAAGAAGGCCCAUUAUUGGCGACAAGAAGCUCAUCGAUUGAUAAUAAUUCAUCAGCCAUUGAUAGAGAGUCUAUAAGUCUUAAUGUAUGUAUAGCAGUUUAUUCCAGUGAAACAGUUAUAAUAAGAAUUACUGCCUCAAGAAUGCCGCGCUCUCUCUGCGAGAUGUAUGAAGUAGUUGAAGCACAUGUCUUAGAAAUACAGAACUCAGAUGUUUACAGAGGGGACUUCAUUCUCUUUCUCAAUAUCCACGCCACAGUAAUUGUAGGCAUGCAUGCAUUGCCAUAACUCAUUAGAAAUGACCCAAAUUGAACCUCGUCUGAACAAAGUUUUACAAAAUAUUUACUAGAAAUAUGUUGAGGAUAUUCACUCUCAGCUGAAAAAUAGGAAAGAAAUGUAAAGGGGUUUCCCUACAUUGAUUAAAAUUUGAGCUUAAAAAUUUCCUGUUCA